rnacentral:rRNA from 1 species
GUAUGGCUGUUCGCCAUUUAAAGUGGUACGCGAGCUGGGUUUAGAACGUCGUGAGACAGUUCGGUCCCUAUCUGCCGUGGGCGCUGGAGAACUGAGGGGGGCUGCUCCUAGUACGAGAGGACCGGAGUGGACGCAUCACUGGUGUUCGGGUUGUCAUGCCAAUGGCACUGCCCGGUAGCUAAAUGCGGAAGAGAUAAGUGCUGAAAGCAUCUAAGCACGAAACUUGCCCCGAGAUGAGUUCUCCCUGAGACUUUAAGUCUCCUGAAGGAACGUUGAAGACGACGACGUUGAUAGGCCGGGUGUGUAAGCGCAGCGAUGCGUUGAGCUAACCGGUACUAAUGAACCGUGAGGCUUAACCUU